rnacentral:lncRNA from 1 species
AUUGUUGCUGUUGAUGUUGUUUUUAACGUCAGGAGUUUAUUGUUAAAGCAAAGCAAGCUUCAAAAUGUUGCACAGCGUAUUUCCGGUAGGGAGAAAUAGCUAGAUAUAGACACACAUAAACUCACACACAGGAGUAGGUAUACAGAUAGCAGUGUAGAAAUAUAUGUCCCCACGUUUUAUAUUAAACCGUUAAUGUUUUCUUUCCAAGGAGGGUAGGCUGGUUUAUGAGAGAAUUAACAAAAUCUUAAACCUUUCCCGAUAGUUAGAAUAUUUUCAAAAAAAUAAAUGCACUUCUUGGUAAAGUAGAAUGAAGAAAAAUAUGUGACUUAGGUUUGCUAAGGACAAAACC